UACGGGGGGGGCAAGCGUUGUUCGGAAUUACUGGGCGUAAAGAGCUCGUAGGCGGUUUGUUGCGUCGGCUGUGAAAUCCCGAGGCUCAACCUCGGGUCUGCAGUCGAUACGAGCAAACUAGAGUGUUGCAGGGGAGACUGGAAUUCCUGGUGUAGCGGUGAAAUGCGCAGAUAUCAGGAGGAACACCGGUGGCGAAGGCGGGUCUCUGGGCCGUAACUGACGCUGAGGAGCGAAAGCGUGGGGAGCAAACAGG
rnacentral:rRNA from 1 species